rnacentral:rRNA from 1 species
GCAUGUGGUUUAAUUCGACGCAACGCGCAGAACUUACCUGGGCUUGACAUCCCGAUCGCAUCCCAUGGAAACAUGGGAGUCAGUUCGGCUGGAUCGGUGACAGGUGCUGCAUGGCUGUCGUCAGCUCGUGUCGUGAGAUGUUGGGUUAAGUCCCGCAACGAGCGCAACCCUUGUCCUUAGUUGCCAGCAUUCAGUUGGGCACUCUAAGGAGACUGCCGGUGACAAACCGGAGGAAGGUGGGAUGACGUCAAGUCCUCAUGGCCCUUAUAGGUGGGGCUACACACACGCUACAAUGGCCAGUACAAUGGGCAGCGAGACCGCGAGGUGGAGCGAAUCCCAACAAAGCUGGUCAUAGUUCGAAUUGCAGGCUGCAACUCGCCUGCAUGAAGCUGGAGUUGCUAGUAACCGCGCGUCAGCUAUAGUGCGGUGAAUACGUUCCCGGGGCUU